rnacentral:lncRNA from 1 species
UCUCAAGGAAAAACUUUGGGGAUUAAACCACCUGGAACUGGGAAAUUGAUAUUUCCUCCACCUUCAUAUGGAACCAUGAGCCCAGUGAAAAAUUAGAAAUAAUGCUUUGGAACGUAUGGUUAAUAAAAUAUUUCAUUGUGGUUAUUGCUUGUUCUUUACAAGAAGGCAUUUGA